rnacentral:piRNA from 1 species
UGUGACCACCUAUGACUGCCUUGCUUUGCC